AGCAAAGCGCGCUGCUCGUCCCGGUUACUAGCACCGGGGGUGUGGGGCGGGCCCGAGGGAGCGUUCAUCUCGGAGACACCCUCCUCUCUGGCCCGCCACGUGCUCUCAGCUGGCCUGUACCGCAAGCCUCCCCCUGCUACCCUAGCUGGCCUUCCCGAGUGUAGGCGCCUUGAGGCAAGGCCGUCUAGGACUGGAAUGACCUUGAACUUCCGAUCCUCCUGCCUCCACUUCCUGAGCAGCAGGAUUACAAAACAGGAGCUACCCUGCCUGGUUUCGGCAGGGCUGGAGAUGGGAUGCAGGGAUUUGUACAAGCUGGAGAUGGGAAUGCUGCCCACUGACUCGCCUUCCCAACCUGCAACAACUGAAGAAUCUAGAAAGUCACCACUAUGGCCAGCACCCGGCUAAGUCCAGCCAACACCCGGCUCAGUGAAGAUGUACCGAUAACUCCAUGAAAGAGUGAGUGAAGAAAUGACUGGACUUGUUGCUCUCUAAACACCGAUGACAUUUAGAGUCCAUCACAACGAAGGGCUUAAAUACACUGAUAGUACUGUCUUAUCACAGAGCAGAUGGAGUGUCUCUAGUGGGCUAUCAGCCUGCUAAACAAAGGGAAACAGAAACACAUACAUCCCUGCUUUGGUUUACAAACUGGAAAGAAAAAGAAGGCUUAAGGUUAGGGAUCAGUAAAGUAAAUGGGAACCUUUAGUAAGCUCUUCCAGCAGUAGAAUGAGGUUUAUAAUGGAAAAUAGAGGGGGCUACACCAACUUAACCAAUGUCUGUCCCCUCCGAGGGACAGUUAAGGUGAAAAGCAAGGGUGAUAAGAUCCAACACCUUUUUGCCCCUAGUGUUGGGGCUCAAACUUUUGGACUUACCUGCCAGGCAUACAUCCUACAGCUGUGCCACAUUAUACCCUUGGGGGUCACUAUUAAACUAUUAAAUCCUACAGGAGGAGGGAAUGACAUGGGAGGGGGGAGAGAAAGAGACAGACAGACACAGACACAGAGACAGACAGAGAGUUGAACAUUCCAAGCACCUGGCGCAGGGCCAGCUGCCUGUGCCACUCACUGCUAAGACGAAUAAGAGCUUGAACUGGGAUUAAUUCACAUGAGUUGCAGAGCAUACUAAUUUAUAUGCCCCGCCUCGGUUUGCCAUCUGUGGGAACCCACGCGCUGAGAGUGGAAAAAGACUGACCCCUCUUACGUGUUGGACAGUGUCUUUAGAAAGAGAGGAUGCUGUGAUGAGGAUGGAGAGCUGGCCAGCAGGAGGCUGGUGGGCUUCACUCACUUCUUGCAAAGCCUUUCUGAUCUGCUCUCAUUCUGAAUUUUCUGUGUUAAAAAUAUGCCCUCCCCCCAAAAGUUGUUAUACAUGGAGGGGGUUCCAGGUAUUUAACAGUUGAGAAUUCUCACAUUUCAACACAUUGGUCUUUUUGAAUAUUUUUGGCCAUUGUUUUUUAAAAAAAUUUUUUUAAAUUAUGUGCAGGUGUGUGUGUGUGUGUGUGUGUGUGUGUGUGUGUGUGUGUGUGUCUGUGUGUGUGCGCGCACACGUACGCACAUGGAGGGCAGAGGUAUUGGAUCCCUUGGAGCUGGAGCUACAGAGCUGUGGGCUGACUGAAGUGGAUGCUAGGAACUGCACUUGGUCCUCUAGAAGAACAGCAAGUGUUCUUAACUGCUGAGCCAUCUCUCUCACCCUGCCAUCAAGUUUUAUAAGUUAAACUAGAGUAAAGAAAAAGUUAUAUUACACACACACACACACACACUCACGUUUAUCCUAUCACAAUCCUGUGACCAUGAUCAGGAAUUGGUUUUUCUUCCUGAUUAUUAUGAAAUAUAAGCUUAAUGAAAUAAAAUGUAAAUAGUUCAGGGGAAAUGUUUGACAUAAUUUAAUCUCAUAGAUUACCACUGCUAAUAUUUUGGUUAUUUGUUCAUUUGCUCAUUUACUGUUUUCUUCAGACAGAGUCUAACUCUGUAGCUCAGGCUGGCCUUAAGUUGUAGAAAUCCUCCUGCCUCGGUCCCCUGAGUGCUGGGAUUGCAGGUGUAUGGCACCAUAUUCCUGUCCAUUGAUAAUAUUUAAUGGUCCUGCCUUCUCAGUUAACCAAUGCUCUCUUGACCAAUAUUUUGGUUGUGACUGUUCAUUAUAUAAUUAACUUUGUAUCCAAAUAUGUAUGGAACUUUUACUUGCCUGUCAUCAUCCAGGGGAAUUGCUUGAUAUUUCAAAAUCUAACAUAUAACAGUGUUUCUUACCCAGUACCUAAAAGUAAGAUGUUCUUUGCAAACACAUGGCCAAGAAAUUUGAAUGAUGUUCCAAGGGGUAUAAACAUGAAAUACAAACACAAAAAUAUAGAAGUGUUCCUUCACUUCAUAAAAGAAUUUCUGUCAAGUUUCACUUAUUAUCAACUAUCUAUCUGGAAGGCAUAAUGAGAGUUAAGGAGAUAUGUCUAUGGAUUCCUAAUGCCCUAUGAUUGAGUGAUUGAUUGAUUGAUUUUAAUUUUAGUUUGUUUCCCAGAGAUGAGUCCCAUGAACUUUUGCACACAUGCUCUACUAGUGCGCCAUGUUCCCAGACCCACUAACCUACUAACCAGGCAUUCUUAGUGACCCAUGUCUAUGACUCUAGCACUCAUUCAAGGCUAGACUGGGCUACAUGUCAAGGUACCAUCUUAAAUAAAACAAGCAAACAAACAAAGAAGAAACCA
rnacentral:lncRNA from 1 species